UCAAAUAUCUCUGAGCUCAGGGUUCUCCCGGGACAGCAUGACAAACCUGCUUUAAACGCCAAGCAUAUCUAAGUGGGAACUCUGGAAAGAAAAUGUGUCUGUUUUCGCACUUCCAGAAAGUCAGCUUUUUUUUCUAACCACCCCGGUGACAUCAGAUCAGGCUCUUAUUUAAGAGGCGCGCACUGUUUACAGUGAGGCAGAGUAGCAUAUCACAGAAACGGUUGUUAGUUUUUGUAAUUUAUCAUCAUCGUGGUAUAUUAUUGCAUUUAUGGGAAGUGCACAAACUCCAGCCUGUCAGCAUAUCAAGUCCACAAGUUUCCCGUUGCUAUUUUGGUUUGUGAAAUGGGAUGAAUACGAUAAGACCGAAAGCUGACACGAAAAUGGCAAAAAACACUCCUGAAUCAGUUGGAAAUGCAACUCGAUGAAAAUAAGAACUGUACACGGGCUUUGGGAGACAGUGAUACUGACCCAGAGCUGAAGGCUUUCUCUCCACAGACCUCUCGAUCAACUGUGCUUUACUUUGGUUCACAGAGUAACCUUAACUAAGCAUAUAUGCAUCAGCCCUCACUGCGUGUCUGAUGGUGGAAUACUGGAGGUCAUCACAGACUUGACAAGAAUGCAGAACUGUCCACUACAUUUGCUUUCCUUUCUCGAUCCUUCCAGCGGGUGUACAAGGAUGAGGCUGUCGGCAUCUUUUACACAGCAUUCACAAUUUAGCACUCAUUAAAGACAUGACAGUGUGGCACCCACAUAAAUGUUGGCCCACUUA